rnacentral:lncRNA from 1 species
GGCGAGAUGCGAAACCGCUCGGUUUUAGGUGGCUAAGGCUUGGCUUCGCGUUUUAGAUGCAAAAGGGGUUCGCUGCGGUGCUAGGGAGCUUUAUAGGGCGCCGAGGAAACGAUUUUGGGAAGAAAUCCCGACUUCCCGCGAUUCGGUUUGGCUUCCCGGUUGGUGUCUGCUCGGUGACGCUCGGGAAGAUGAACAGGACACUGCGCUGCGGGGCCAGGCUGCCAGUCACAGAAAGGAGGGGAUCAGCGCGCGGGCUUCCUGGGCCGCGCUGGGCCGAGGCGAGGGGGAAGGGGAUGCUCGGGCUGCGGCCUGGGAGGCUUCCUUUCUUUUUUUUCCUAUUUCCAAUUUCUUUUCUGUUUUGUUUUAUUCUCUUUUUUUUUCAAAACCUUUUUCAAAAAGGAUUUUGAGGACAAUUAAAUAUAAACCAAAUACAAUCACCACAAAAUAAAAUAUGUCUCAGCAUGAAUGCACAAAAUCAUGUUACUAAGCUUAUGAUAAAUUUUAAAUUUCCACAAAAAAUGUUUAUUUGCUACAUUAAAUGCUCACUAAAAUUCUUAAAUAAUUCAAAUUAAAUCCUAUUAAUUGAAAUUCAAAUUUUGGGUGUUACAAACUCUACCUCCCUUAAAAGAAUCUCGUCCUCGAGAUUGAGCAGUGCAUAAACAAACAACUGCGGAUUUAAUUCUCUCCAAACAUCUUCUCCUUCUCAAGUCGCUUCUACCUCUAAAUACCAAUUCCAUUGU